AAGGAACUUCGGCGGAAGAAGAUU
rnacentral:siRNA from 1 species